CAUGAGCAUUUAUUGUUAGAAGCUUCCCUCUUAGAACUAUCCUUAUUUAAUCCUUUCAGGUUUCUCUUCAUGCUGGUCUCAAAAGAAUGAAUCCUCUUCCAGGGAUUCUUGGGAUUCACUACAUCUUUUCCUUCCUACAGAAGCCCAUGGAGGAGAGGCACCAACAGGUAUAAAGGACUCCAGUGACACAUUUUGGCUUCUGCACAGUUUUUUUUCCAAGCCUUGACCCUGCACUUGAUGGACCAGCUGGCACCACCCAAAUCAAUAAACCGGCUCAUUUGAACUUGAAGUCCCCCACCCAGAAACUGACUCAGCGUAAGAAGACAGCUGUGACUUCGUAUGAUUUCAUCUCUGACCAAUCAGCACUCCUGGCUCACUGGCUUCCCACGACCCACCAAGUUAUCCUUAAAAACUCUGCUUCCUGAAUGCUCGAGGAGACUGAUAUUCGUAAUAAUAAAACUCUAGACUCAGG